CGGGGCGUAGCGCAGUUGGUAGCGCACCUGGUUUGGGACCAGGAUGUCGCUGGUUCGAGUCCAGUCGCCCCGA
rnacentral:tRNA from 1 species